CCUCAAUGAAGACAUCGGACAGAUGGACCAGAGAGGAUGCCGGGGAACUUCCAGUGACCCUGAUAGAGACCUUGACUUGGAUGCUGGAUGGGAUUAUAUAGAAGAGAAGAGGAGGGUUUGGACGGCUGGAGAAUGGUUUGUCUCUCCCCACUCGCCCCUCAAUGACAAGAUGCAAAGAACUUUUCAGCUCCUCACACUGGUUUGAUCUACAUCCAAAAGUAAUGCUGUGGAACUGCAUUUACAGGAAUUGUAUGCAAUCAAGGGCAUAUCUUGUGAGUUGACUGAGAUCUUCAUACUCAUCUUUAGUAAGCAAGAUGGGAGAAACCUUUUAAUGGUAUGUUGCCACAUCUUAGUAAACACUUUAAUGGACAAAUAUUCCAGAAUGGUCACUACUUUCAGCAGAGAACUAGCAUCUGUGGCUUGUUUGUAUGCAACAUUGGGUACGUGACAUUGGGUAGCAUUUUAUUUUAUUUUAAGGGGAAAG